UGAAAUGCGAUAAGUAAUGUGAAUUGCACAACCUCGUGAAUCAUCGAAUCUUUGAACGCACAUUGCGCCCUAUGGUAUUCCGUAGGGCAUGCCUGUCUGAGCGUCAGCUCCCCCCCACUCACACCCUUUUGUGUGGACUCUUUAGAAAAGCAAGACUUGGUAACAGGCCUUGCCUUCUAUAAAUGCAUCGGCAGUAUGUUUGACUCUGGGCCAAGCGUAAUAAUAACAAAAUCGUUUGACUUGAGUAGGAUUGUACUUGCCUUUAACCCACCCUUUUUAUUUUGGGUGACCUCAGAUCAGGUAGGGAUACCCGCUGAACUUAA
rnacentral:misc_RNA from 1 species